GAUGAACGCUGGCGGCGUGCCUAAUACAUGCAAGUCGAGCGAACAGACGAGGAGCUUGCUCCUCUGACGUUAGCGGCGGACGGGUGAGUAACACGUGGAUAACCUACCUAUAAGACUGGGAUAACUUCGGGAAACCGGAGCUAAUACCGGAUAAUAUAUUGAACCGCAUGGUUCAAUAGUGAAAGACGGUUUUGCUGUCACUUAUAGAUGGAUCCCCGCCGCAUUAGCUAGUUGGUAAGGUAACGGCUUACCAAGGCAACGAUGCGUAGCCGACCUGAGAGGGUGAUCGGCCACACUGGAACUGAGACACGGUCCAGACUCCUACGGGAGGCAGCAGUAGGGAAUCUUCCGCAAUGGGCGAAAGCCUGACGGAGCAACGCCGCGUGAGUUAUGAAGGUCUUCGGAUCGUAAAACUCUGUUAUUAGGGAAGAACAAAUGUGUAAGUAACUAUGCACGUCUUGACGGUACCUAAUCAGAAAGCCACGGCUAACUACGUG
rnacentral:rRNA from 1 species